rnacentral:rRNA from 1 species
CAUGCAAGACCGACGGUAGCCAGACAGCUUGCUCUCGGGUGACGAGUGGCGGACGGGUGAGUAAUGUCUGGGGAUCUGCCGGAUAGAGGGGGAUAACCACUGGAAACGGUGGCUAAUACCGCAUAACGUCGCAAGACCAAAGAGGGGGACCUUCGGGCCUCUCACUAUCGGAUGAACCCAGAUGGGAUUAGCUAGUAGGCGGGGUAACGGCCCACCUAGGCGACGAUCCCUAGCUGGUCUGAGAGGAUGACCAGCCACACUGGAACUGAGACACGGUCCAGACUCCUACGGGAGGCAGCAGUGGGGAAUAUUGCACAAUGGGCGCAAGCCUGAUGCAGCCAUGCCGCGUGUAUGAAGAAGGCCUUCGGGUUGUAAAGUACUUUCAGCGGGGAGGAAGGCGAUGUGGUUAAUAACCGCAUUGAUUGACGUUACCCGCAGAAGAAGCACCGGCUAACUCCGUGCCAGCAGCCGCGGUAAUACGGAGGGUGCAAGCGUUAAUCGGAAUUACUGGGCGUAAAGCGCACGCAGGCGGUCUGUUAAGUCAGAUGUGAAAUCCCCGGGCUUAACCUGGGAACUGCAUUUGAAACUGGCAGGCUUGAGUCUCGUAGAGGGGGGUAGAAUUCCAGGUGUAGCGGUGAAAUGCGUAGAGAUCUGGAGGAAUACCGGUGGCGAAGGCGGCCCCCUGGACGAAGACUGACGCUCAGGUGCGAAAGCGUGGGGAGCAAACAGGAUUAGUACCCUGGUAGUCCACGCCGUAAACGAUGUCGACUUGGAGGUUGUUCCCUUGAGGAGUGGCUUCCGGAGCUAACGCGUUAAGUCGACCGCCUGGGGAGUACGGCCGCAAGGUUAAAACUCAAAUGAAUUGACGGGGGCCCGCACAAGCGGUGGAGCAUAUGGUUUAAUUCGAUGCAACGCGAAGAACCUUACCUACUCUUGACAUCCAGAGAACUUAGCAGAGAUGCUUUGGUGCCUUCGGGAACUCUGAGACAGGUGCUGCAUGGCUGUCGUCAGCUCGUGUUGUGAAAUGUUGGGUUAAGUCCCGCAACGAGCGCAACCCUUAUCCUUUGUUGCCAGCGAUUCGGUCGGGAACUCAAAGGAGACUGCGGUGAAUAACCGGAGGAAGGUGGGGAUGACGUCAAGUCAUCAUGGCCCUUACGAGUAGGGCUACACACGUGCUACAAUGGCGCAUACAAAGAGAAGCGACCUCGCGAGAGCAAGCGGACCUCAUAAAGUGCGUCGUAGUCCGGAUCGGAGUCUGCAACUCGACUCCGUGAAAUCGGAAUCGCUAGUAAUCGUGGAUCAGAAUGGCACGGUGAAUACGUUCCCGGGCCUUGUACACACCGCCGCUACACCAUGGAGUGGGUUGCAAAUGAAUCAGGUAGCAUAACCUUCGGCAGGCGCUUACCACUUUGUGAUUCAUGAC